rnacentral:rRNA from 1 species
GACGGAGGGUGCAAGCGUUGUUCGGAAUUACUGGGCGUAAAGGGCGCGUAGGCGGUCUGUUAAGUUCGGUGUGAAAGCCCCCGGCUCACCUGGGGAACUGCGCCGGAAACCGACAGACUCGAGUACCGGAGAGGAGGGUGGAAUUCCUGGUGUAGCGGUGAAAUGCGCAGAUAUCAGGAAGAACACCCGUGGCGAAGGCGGCUCUCUGGGACGGUACUGACGCUGAGACGCGAAAGCGUGGGGAGCGAACAGG